rnacentral:rRNA from 1 species
AACGAACGCUUGCGGCAGGCCUAACACAUGCAAGUCGAACGGUAGACUGACUUCGGUCAGUUGAGAGUGGCAAACGGGUGCGUAACACGUGGGAACAUGCCUAUAGGUGGGGGAUAACUACGGGAAACUGUAGCUAAUACCGCAUACCUUCUACGGAAGAAAGAUUUAUCGCCUAUAGAUUGGCCCGCGGUUGAUUAGAUAGUUGGUGGGGUAAUGGCUCACCAAGUCUACGAUCAAUAGCUGGUUUGAGAGAACGAUCAGCCACACUGGGACUGAGAUACGGCCCAGACUCCUACGGGAGGCAGCAGUGAGGAAUAUUGGACAAUGGGGGAAACCCUGAUCCAGCCAUGCCGCGUGAGUGAUGAAGGCUUUCGGGUUGUAAAGCUCUUUCAGCGGGGAAGAUAAUGACGGUACCCGCAGAAGAAGCCCCGGCUAACUCCGUGCCAGCAGCCGCGGUAAUU